CGGGUGAGUAACGCGUGGGUAACCUGCCUCAUACAGGGGGAUAACGGUUAGAAAUGACUGCUAAUACCGCAUAAGCGCACAGUACCGCAUGGUACGGUGUGAAAAACUCCGGUGGUAUGAGAUGGACCCGCGUCUGAUUAGCUAGUUGGUGAGGUAAAGGCUCACCAAGGCGACGAUCGGUAGCUGGUCUGAGAGGACGACCAGCCACACUGGGACUGAGACACGGCCCAG
rnacentral:rRNA from 1 species